UACGGGGGGAGCAAGCGUUGUUCGGAUUUACUGGGCGUAAAGGGCGCGUAGGCGGCGGGGUAAGUCGGGUGUGAAAUCUCAGAGCUCAACUCUGAAAUGGCACUUGAUACUGCUCUGCUAGAGGACUGGAGAGGAGAUUGGAAUUCACGGUGUAGCAGUGAAAUGCGUAGAUAUCGUGAGGAACACCGGUGGCGAAGGCGGCAUCCUGGACCGAGAUUGACGCUGAGGCGCGAAAGCCAGGGGAGCAAACGGGG
rnacentral:rRNA from 1 species